UCAUGGCUCAGGACGAACGCUGGCGGCGUGCCUAAUACAUGCAAGUAGAACGCUGAAGAGAGGAGCUUGCUCUUCUUGGAUGAGUUGCGAACGGGUGAGUAACGCGUAGGUAACCUGCCUUGUAGCGGGGGAUAACUAUUGGAAACGAUAGCUAAUACCGCAUAACAAUAGGUGACACAUGUCAUUUAUUUGAAAGGGGCAAUUGCUCCACUACAAGAUGGACCUGCGUUGUAUUAGCUAGUAGGUGAGGUAACGGCUCACCUAGGCGACGAUACAUAGCCGACCUGAGAGGGUGAUCGGCCACACUGGGACUGAGACACGGCCCAGACUCCUACGGGAGGCAGCAGUAGGGAAUCUUCGGCAAUGGGGGCAACCCUGACCGAGCAACGCCGCGUGAGUGAAGAAGGUUUUCGGAUCGUAAAGCUCUGUUGUAAGUCAAGAACGAGUGUGAGAGUGGAAAGUUCACACUGUGACGGUAGCUUACCAGAAAGGGACGGCUAACUACGUGCCAGCAGCCGCGGUAAUACGUAGGUCCCGAGCGUUGUCCGGAUUUAUUGGGCGUAAAGCGAGCGCAGGCGGUUUGAUAAGUCUGAAGUUAAAGGCUGUGGCUCAACCAUAGUUCGCUUUGGAAACUGUCAAACUUGAGUGCAGAAGGGGAGAGUGGAAUUCCAUGUGUAGCGGUGAAAUGCGUAGAUAUAUGGAGGAACACCGGUGGCGAAAGCGGCUCUCUGGUCUGUAACUGACGCUGAGGCUCGAAAGCGUGGGGAGCGAACAGGAUUAGAUACCCUGGUAGUCCACGCCGUAAACGAUGAGUGCUAGGUGUUGGAUCCUUCCCGGGAUUCAGUGCCGCAGCUAACGCAUUAAGCACUCCGCCUGGGGAGUACGACCGCAAGGUUGAAACUCAAAGGAAUUGACGGGGGCCCGCACAAGCGGUGGAGCAUGUGGUUUAAUUCGAAGCAACGCGAAGAACCUUACCAGGUCUUGACAUCCCGAUGCUAUUUCUAGAGAUAGAAAGUUACUUCGGUACAUCGGUGACAGGUGGUGCAUGGUUGUCGUCAGCUCGUGUCGUGAGAUGUUGGGUUAAGUCCCGCAACGAGCGCAACCCCUAUUGUUAGUUGCCAUCAUUCAGUUGGGCACUCUAGCGAGACUGCCGGUAAUAAACCGGAGGAAGGUGGGGAUGACGUCAAAUCAUCAUGCCCCUUAUGACCUGGGCUACACACGUGCUACAAUGGUUGGUACAACGAGUUGCGAGUCGGUGACGGCAAGCUAAUCUCUUAAAGCCAAUCUCAGUUCGGAUUGUAGGCUGCAACUCGCCUACAUGAAGUCGGAAUCGCUAGUAAUCGCGGAUCAGCACGCCGCGGUGAAUACGUUCCCGGGCCUUGCACACACCGCCCGUC
rnacentral:rRNA from 1 species